GACGAACGCUGGCGGCGNGCUUAACACAUGCAAGUCGAACGUGAUUUUUGUGGAAAUUCUUUCGGGAAUGGAAAUGAAAUGAAAGUGGCGAACGGGUGAGUAACACGUGAGCAACCUACCUUACACAGGGGGAUAGCCGUUGGAAACGACGAUUAAUACCGCAUGAGACCACAGAAUCGCAUGAUAUAGGGGUCAAAGAUUUAUCGGUGUAAGAAGGGCUCGCGUCUGAUUAGCUAGUUGGAAGGGUAAAGGCCUACCAAGGCGACGAUCAGUAGCCGGUCUGAGAGGAUGAACGGCCACAUUGGAACUGAGACACGGUCCAAACUCCUACGGGAGGCAGCAGUGGGGAAUAUUGCACAAUGGGGGGAACCCUGAUGCAGCGACGCCGCGUGAGCGAAGAAGGUUUUCGAAUCGUAAAGCUCUGUCCUAUGAGAAGAUAAUGACGGUAUCAUAGGAGGAAGCCCCGGCUAAAUACGUGCCAGCAGCCGCGGUAAUACGUAUGGGGCGAGCGUUGUCCGGAAUUAUUGGGCGUAAAGGGUACGUAGGCGGUUUUUUAAGUCAGGUGUGAAAGCGUGAGGCUUAACCUCAUUAAGCACUUGAAACUGGAAGACUUGAGUGAAGGAGAGGAAAGUGGAAUUCCUAGUGUAGCGGUGAAAUGCGUAGAUAUUAGGAGGAAUACCGGUGGCGAAGGCGACUUUCUGGACUUUUACUGACGCUCAGGUACGAAAGCGUGGGGAGCAAACAGG
rnacentral:rRNA from 1 species